rnacentral:pre_miRNA from 8 species
AGGGAUGACCAACUGUCCUGGUUUGCCUGGGACUGAGGGGUUACUGAGGACACGUGAAGUCCCUGGGCAAACUGGAGUGGUUGGUUCAUUCUAGCUUUU